rnacentral:misc_RNA from 1 species
AAAGUCGUAACAAGGUUUCCGUAGGUGAACCUGCGGAAGGAUCAUUACCAGAGGCAAGGACAGGCAGCGCCCAGGUGGCUCGCCACCUGGGGCUACCCGACCACGGUCGGGUUUAGAGUCGUCGGGCCCCUCGGAGAAGCCCGGUCCUGAUCUCCACCCCUGAAUAAACUACCCUGUUGCCUUGGCGGGCCGCCCCGUGCCGGCGGCCACCGGCUGUCGAGCGCCCGCCAGAGGACCCAAACCCGUGUCUUUAGUGGUGUCCGAGUACUAUAUAAUAGUUAAAACUUUCAACAACGGAUCUCUUGGUUCUG